ensembl:lncRNA LINC01309 long intergenic non-protein coding RNA 1309
CUGGACAUAAAGAACAGUUCUGGGCCGGGCGCGGUGGCUCACGCCUGUAAUCCCAGCACUUUGGGAGGCCGAGGCGGGCGGAUCACGAGGUCAGGAGAUCGAGACCAUCCCGGCUAAAACGGUGAAACCCCGUCUCUACUAAAAAUACAAAAAAUUAGCCGGGCGUAGUGGCGGGCGCCUGUAGUCCCAGCUACUUGGGAGGCUGAGGCAGGAGAAUGGCGUGAACCCGGGAGGCGGAGCUUGCAGUGAGCCGAGAUCCCGCCACUGCACUCCAGCCUGGGCGACAGAGCGAGACUCCGUCUCAAAAAAAAAAAAGAACAGUUCUGUAGCUGUCAGGGCCGGGGUGUACCGGGGCAGCCCAUGGUGGUAGAUAAAAACAGCUGUUCUGGAGUCAGAGUGACUUCUGUGCUGGUUCUUAUUCCGUUAGUUACUUGCCGCGUGCUGUCAAAGUCUUUGUAAAAGUGACGUGAAGAGAUUUUCAUGUUGGAAAGAUGACUAACUGCAUCGUAGAAUUAAUGUGAAAGGGUGGCCCAAGGAAGCAAGUUUCUUCACAGCUAUUGCAAUAAACAGGGUCUACUGGAGACCUUGGCUUUUUAUUUCCCUGACACAACUUCACACUGCUGGAGCAAUGCUUGGAUUGCUCUGGAAACACUGGCAAAUCUCAAGAUGCAGUUCAGGCUUCUCCAUGAUGAGUGUGAGUCCCUAGGCUGUCUCUCAAACUAAAGAUUCCCCAGCCAGGCAACUCUAAAGAGUCUUCGACAAGGCAACACAAUUACUCUGUGUGCUUAGAAGAAGAGGGGUCAUAAAUGUCAGCUGUUGCUCUUUGAGUCCUGCUAAUUCAUUCAUUGAUUCACUCAUCUUUCCCACAGGCAUGUGCUGUGCGUUUACUGUACUGCAUGACACUGUGGAGGUUAUAAAGAAAUAAAAUAUUUGGGGCUUACUCUCUAUGAAAUAAAAUUCUAAUUCUUUCUACCAUAUAUUCUUAUGUGAGAUCCCAGCCUGCUCUACCUGGUGCCUGCUCUACCUGUUACCUGGACUAGGGCAUUUCUGUAUCAGAUUAAAUUUAAAGGUGUUUCAAUAGUUAAUAAUGAUCAAACGUUAUAAAUAUUGGGAAACUAUAAUGGAUGAGGUGAAAAAGAAAAGGCCACUAAGUAGAAAAUUAGAUAAAAUAGACAUAUAUAAAAUUAAGUCAUGUGUUAUGGGCUAAACUGUGUCCCCCACAAAAUUCAUGUUGGGGUCAGUACCUCAGAAUGUGUCUGUAUUUGGAGACAGGGCCUUUAUAGAAAUAAUUAAAUUAAAAUGAGGUCACUAGGGUCAGCUCUAAUCCAACAAGAUGGGCAUCCUGAUAGGAAGAGGGAAUUUGGAUACAGAGGGAAGAUUAUAUAAAGACACGGGGAGAGGAUGACCAUCUACAAGACCAAGAGAGAGGCCUGUCCGUAAGAAACCAACCCUCAAGGAGAGAGGCCUUUCUGUAAGAAACCAACCCUGCCAGCACCCAGCUUUUGGAGCUCUAGUCUCCAGAAAUGUGAAAUAAAUUUCUUUUGUUUAAGCCA